UCGAGAAUUUUUCUCAAUGGGGGAAACCCUGAAGGAGCGACGCCGCGUGGAGGAUGAAGGUCUUCGGGUUGUAAACUCCUGUCAUUUGAGAACAAGGCCCCGAAAGUAACUACUUCGGAGUUGAUAGUAUCAGAAGAGGAAGGGACGGCUAACUCUGUGCCAGCAGCCGCGGUAAUACAGAGGUCCCAAGCGUUGUUCGGAUUCAUUGGGCGUAAAGGGUGUGUAGGUGGCACCGUAAGUCGGGUGUGAAAUCUCGGGGCUUAACUCCGAAACUGCAUUCGAUACUGCGGUGCUUGAGGACUGGAGAGGAGACUGGAAUUCAUGGUGUAGCAGUGAAAUGCGUAGAGAUCAUGAGGAAGACCAGUGGCGAAGGCGGGUCUCUGGACAGUUCCUGACACUGAGACACGAAGGCCAGGGGAGCAAACGGGAUUAGAUACCCCGGUAGUCC
rnacentral:rRNA from 1 species